CGAUGGAACAAUAGAGGAAAAGAAGAAGGAAAAUAAGAGGAAGAAGAGAAGGAAGGGGGACAGAGUUGGGGGCUGCAUGUAAUCAGGAAAUUUCUCAAAUGUUGAAGCAUACCGAUCCCCAAGAUGACCCACAACUACAAAAGCACAGUUGCAUCAUGAAGGAAAAUCAUAAUCCUUCUCAUGAAGUUGGGCAUGAGGGCGAAGAUGAGAUGACAGCUGUAUCACCUGUAUCACCUCUUGCACCACCUGUGAUGACAACUCAGGAUGUGGUUUCCAUGGUCAGUAAUAUGAUGCAAGAAGUCCAACAAUGACAUAGGGACAUGAUGACUGAGAUAAUCACAGCUAUUGUAGACACCCAAUUUUAUCACCCUCCUCUGGCUAUAAUGAAAUAUGGUUCUUGGGGGUGACUUUCGGCUUCCGACCGACAAAGAUGCUGAUGGAAACAUUCCCUAUCCGAAACCCUAGAAUCCCCGCAUGGGAGAGAGGAAGGUCUAAUGACAUUUUAUAUAUGAAAGAAUCUGGUUAAGCUGACCA